GCCUCUGUAGCUCAGUUGGUUAUAGAGCGCUGCAAUGGAAUCACAUGCAGGGCUGCAUGUUCGAUUCCUGCCUGGCU